CCCUUAGAUGUUCUGGGCCGCACGCGUGCUACACUGAGUAAUUCAAUGGGUAAGGGAACGCUAGAGCAUUACCUAAUCUUGAAAUUUGCUCGUGAUGGGGAUCGACGGUUGCAAUUUUCCGUCGUGAACGAGGAAUACCUUGUAGGCGCAUGUCAUCAUCAUGCGCCGAAUACGUCCCUGCCCUUUGUACACACCGCCCGUCGCUCCUACCGAUUGAGUGAUCCGGUGAGGCUCUGGGACCUGGACGGAAAGAGCGUUUCACUUGUUCUGUUUGGGAAACUUGGUCGAACCUUAUCAUUUAGAGGAAGGAGAAGUCGUAACA
rnacentral:rRNA from 1 species